AGAAAAUUCUCUCUUGCAGUUGAUCCUGAACCCUUGAGGAGUUCUUAUCAUAGCAGGACAGCCUGGCCUAACUCAGGUGGUAGAAGGAUUGUGAGUGAUAUCUCAGACCAGAUCUUUGUGCAGCUGCUACUAGUGCUGAGUCAUGGCUCCAGAAUUUUAAACAGCAGAAGUUUCUAUGAUGGAUUAUUAAAAGCUCAAAAACCUUUCCUACAGAAGCAGAGCAAUUUCAGAACACAAGACAACAAUGGAAAAAUGCUGAAACACUAAAAUGAAGCCUUCAAUAGAUAGAAUGAAGCCUUGUCACUAAGAUGAACUGCUAACAGCAAGUUCAGCUGAGCCUGCACUGAGCUAGCAUCCCAGCUGAAAAUAAUGUAGAUGCUAAAGAUUUUUAUUAUUAUGUUUGAAGUGAGACCCUUUGACAAGUUACAACACAGAGAAACUUUAUGGAACAAAAGCUCUGCUCUGGGUGAUACCUACGCUUUAAAAGCAACCCAUCUGCGACUACUACUCUUCCACCUCAAUACCAAAUGCAUUCCAUUUAAAAAUAAGACAUCCUAAUGAGUUUGGCCAAUCAACAUGGGAUUCAUUGACAGAAUGGAGAUGAUGGAGAAAAUGUGAGAAGAAAACUGGUUCUACUUGCUGUCCAUUAGACUGGAUGCGUUGUUGUCAAGAUUAAACAUCUCACAGUCAGUAACCAUAGUAAUGUACUGUUUCCUAACAUAGGCAUCCAAAAUCCUGCCACUCUUUCUAAAAGCACAUUCCCUAAACCAUCACCUGAGGCUUUCGUGACCACACUCACUAAACGCGUAUUUCCAUGCCCUCCAGUCUUAAUAGAGCAAACGUGCUAAUGAACUAA
ensembl:lncRNA